AUAUCAAUAAGCGGAGGAAAAGAAACCAACAGGGAUUGCCCUAGUAACGGCGAGUGAAGCGGCAACAGCUCAAAUUUGAAAUCUGGCCCCAGGCCCGAGUUGUAAUUUGCAGAGGAUGCUUUUGGCAAAGCGCUUACCGAGUCCCCUGGAACGGGGCGCCACAGAGGGUGAGAGCCCCGUAUGGUAGGACGCCGAGCCUCUGUAAAGCUCCUUCGACGAGUCGAGUAGUUUGGGAAUGCUGCUCUAAAUGGGAGGUAAAUUUCUUCUAAAGCUAAAUACCGGCCAGAGACCGAUAGCGCACAAGUAGAGUGAUCGAAAGAUGAAAAGCACUUUGAAAAGAGGGUUAAAUAGCACGUGAAAUUGUUGAAAGGGAAGCGCUCGUGACCAGACUUGCGCCGGGCGGAUCAUCCAGCGUUCUCGCUGGUGCACUCCGCCCGGCUCAGGCCAGCAUCGGUUUUCGCCGGGGGACAAAAGCUUCGGGAACGUGGCUCCCUUCGGGGAGUGUUAUAGCCCGUUGCUUAAUACCCCGGCGGGGACCGAGGACCGCGCUUCGGCAAGGAUGCUGGCGUAAUGGUCAUCAGCGACCCGUCUUGAAACACGGACCGAGGAGUCAAGCAUUAGUGCGAGUGUUUGGGUGUAAAACCCGCACGCGUAAUGAAAGUGAACGUAGGUGAGAGCUUCGGCGCAUCAUCGACCGAUCCUGAUGUUUUCGGAUGGAUUUGAGUAGGAGCAUUAACGCUUGGACCCGAAAGAUGGUGAACUAUACUUGAAUAGGGUGAAGCCAGAGGAAACUCUGGUGGAGGCUCGCAGCGGUUCUGACGUGCAAAUCGAUCGUCAAAUUUGAGUAUAGGG
rnacentral:rRNA from 1 species